UUGAAGAGGGAAUCAAUAUAGAUGAAUAGUGAUUUUUUUUUCUUGUUUUGAGUUCUCAUCAUGACAGCCGUGCCUAUUGACUGGCCAACUGGGUACAGUCGGAUCUUAGCUCAGGCAUUGGCUUAACCAACUAACUCCCCUUGGGCUUUGGCCAAGCCUCUGCCCAUUGGAUUUAUCAAUAGGGAGCAGGGUGAGCUCCCUGCUGGUAGGGAUUUUACCUGGUUCCUUUCUGAUAUCAUCCAUCCAGAUCCCAGGAAGAAGCCACCGACAGCUCUAUUACAAGGAAAGCAUGGAAAGGAAAGCAUGCUAAGCCAUGUACUUCUCUCCCCUUGAAACUAAGCUGCUGUUUACAACCUACUUCUAUGAAAGCUGCCGUCAUUGUUCUGGAAGAAAAUAUUCCAAAUGCCCAUCAUUGUUCUGAGCACUUUGGAGGAACAGGGUAUACACAGUGGGCAGUGGAGUCUGUUGCGGAAGAUGGGAAGGCGUGCUGUUCGAAUGCAUCAAGACCACUGUGUCCAGUGUACACUUGGCUUAACUCAGAUCUAUAUCCCAAGAAGUCUACAAAUGAACACCGAUAAUAGCAGUCUGGACAAUGAUACAUUGUGCUAUUAGUGUUAGAUUAUUAUUAUUUUGAAGAGUCACAUGUAUAACAAACAGGAUGCAACCGGACAUGGCGGGCAUCUGUUGCUAAGUUUGGCAGGAAGUCUUAAAGAAGCAAACAGCAUGCCCUUCCGCCCUGGCAUAUUCAUAAGCUAUUUUGGGAUGAGUCAUCGGAAUUCUGUGGUUUGUAUAUCCUGAAGGGAGAAAGAAGACACUGUAUGGUUAACAUUUAUUUGAAAGAGCUUAUUGGAAAGAAAAAUUCUUUGAUAAAGUUCAGCAUUAGGUAAAAAAAAAAUGCCUGUGGAUCUUUACACUGUUGUAAAGAUUUUGCUUGUGUGCCCAUCUCUGGGAAUACCAUACCACAGUAACUCUUCAUGCUGAACUCUCAGUUUGAUGUAGUGCCUAUAGAAGUCUGAACAGGUGUUUAGCAGAAGUAAUUCACUGGCAGUAAACAAAUGACUGUUUCUUUCAUUGGAGUUGAUGCUAUAUGUGAAGAUCUAGAGGCCAAGUCAUCUAUCUGAGACUGUUGGAUCAUACUGCCAAUACUGUCACUGUAGAUUAUGAUUGAGUCCACUCUGUCAUCUAUGACA